GGCAACACUUGGGAUAAGAAAACCAUUCUGAGAGCAAGCAGCCCCACAUCCUUCCCCAUUCUGUGAGAAAGACAAUUGUUUAGUGAGCAGAAGAGACUGCAAAUAAGAUACAUUCUCUGGAAACUGGGGACAAAGAAAUAAUUUGCGUCAGCAUAAGCAGACUAUAUUUAAAACCUUCUGUUCACAUCUCUGGAAUAUUACUGUUCUUUGGAUCCUCAACAUCAAAUAAUAAUGAAAAUCAAACCCUAAUCUUUGGUUGUAUUUCCCAGAAAGUUGGACUUUUCUCCUUUAAUAUAUAUUUCAAUCUGAGAAAACGACAUCUCAGCAAAAUGAAAACAAAUGACAGUGCUAUCGCCAACGAGACAAUGUAUUAUUUUAAAAUGUAUGAAAUGGUCCAUGCUCUGCCCUAUGACAGUUAAGUGUUCAAAAUGAGACAGCUAAAAAAAAAAUGUAGUUAACUCGUUCAAGGAGAUAUGAAAGUGAGGCUCCUUUAUAAUGUUCCUCCCUCCUAUGUGUAGACAAAGAGGUACAGAGAAGAGAAAACCGUGGAUUAAAAUAAAUGUUCUCAGUGCAGAAAAUGAAAUGAAAGCAGCAGGCUUUGUGUCAGAAA